CUCAAACAAGGUUAAGAACCACUGUUCUAGACGUCCAUUGCGUUUCUACUCGUAUUGAGUCUUCAUUCAUCACUCCAUUGAAAUUCUUACAAUAAAACUAAAACAAUUCAUACUUACUAAACCGUCUCAUGUGUGAUGUCUUUAGGAGUGUUAUCAAGCAAUAUUUGUACGUGCUCUCGUAAUGUAUUCAAGCUAGCGUUGUUAACACUAGCUAAUAUGCCAACACGUUUACGAGUGUAUGUGUUCGUAUUAUUAACUUACAAUGGCAUUAUUUUUGCAUCGUUUCAGUUUCACAAAUUCACCAAAACGUCACCAUGGAGAGUGUGUUCAGCUGGUUGGAGAGCUAGCUUCCGCAGCUAGUGGGUCCAUGACGAUGACUUCGGUGUUGUUUGAUCAGCUGUUUUACUGCCGUGUGACAAGCACCGUUUGGAAACAAUUAAGUACUCUACACAGCACCCAGCAUUGUCCCACCCACACAACCAUCUGAUUGGUUACACGCAGAGCGGUAACAGCCAAUCAGCAGUGCACAUUCAGAGCGGUAACAGCCGUUUAGCAGGGUCAUGUUCUCCAGGACCAUCAACCUGGGUCCGUGCCAGUACACUUCUUUCCACACCUCUGAUGGGGAAAUGCGAUGCUGUCUUGAGGGGAAUGUUUUUGGAACGGUUGUCUUAAGGUUUCCUGAAGUUCAGGACUCGACUGGGCAGCUUUUGUGGCGAAAUGACGUAACGUGACGAGAAGCUGCUGAUGGUGUGUUUGACGGAGAAGCAGCUCAUAGAAGUCCACUCUCUUAAGGUAAAUGCGGUAUGUUGUG